rnacentral:lncRNA from 1 species
AAAAACACAACCACAAGUUAUGCCCGUGCUGUGCCUCUAGCAGCAAAGACAAGCGGUGUGGGGUUGGAUGAAUCUACACUUCUCGUCGGGGGAGAAAGGGAUUCCUGCGGAGCUGUAUUUACUUUACAUCCAUGUGAACUGCUGUCAUCACUACUGUGUCCAAGCCCAGAGGAUGAACUGGAAAAGAAGAGAGGGGGAAAAUAAUAAAAAGAGGAAAUUGGUUUUCACAACACACUCAAAGCCUGAGUAACAGAGGAGAACUUUAAUUAUCUCCAGUCACAAAGAGAGACAGGAAAUUUGGACUUUUAAUUAGCCAUUUGGAGUGCAGUUGGGUAUUUUUUUAGCUAGAUAAUUUAAACGCGAAUAAUUCAAGUCUGACUAAAUGAAAGUCACAUAAUCAGAAUGCAAAUAAUUGAAUUUCUACUGCAUUCAUUAAUUCAGUGUGGAGGUGUGUGUGAAGACUACUAUGAUGAGCUGUCACAGCUCAAUAAAAUCUCAGUCAAUUAAUUUUUUCAUUAUCUUAGUAUUAUAUCAACAAAAAAGUGAAGUGUGUAUAUAUAUCUAUACACGUGCAUAUGUGCAUACUAUGUAUUAUAUAAAUACAUAUACAUUAAAUCAAAAUGCAAGGAAA